rnacentral:rRNA from 1 species
UACCGAGGUCUCAAGCGUUGUUCGGGUUCAUUGGGCGUAAAGCGUGCGUAGGCGGCGGGGUAAGUCAGGUGUGAAAUCUCGGGGCUCAACCCCGAAACUGCACUUGAUACUGCCUUGCUCGAGUACUGGAGAGGAGAUUGGAAUUUACGGUGUAGCAGUAAAAUGCGUAGAUAUCGUAAGGAAGACCAGUGGCGAAGGCGGGUCUCUGGACAGUGCCUGACACUGAGGCACGAAGGCCAGGGGAGCAAACGGG